CUCCCAGAGGCCCAGCAGUCCAGGAGCACGAGCAAGAGCGGCUGGAGGCCCCGCGACCCCAUCACCUCGCCGAAACCUGCGCGCCCAGAUGCAGGGGAAUCGCGCGUUGCCAGGGAGGCAGAAUCAUCAAGCUUUAUGAAGGAAUUGCUCAGCGCCGCAGGGAGGGGAGAUCGAGGCUAUGCGAGGACCAAGGAUGGACUCUGCUGUUUUGACUGAAGUGAUGAAUCCAGUAACUGAUUUGUAAAUCAACACCCAGAAGAAAAUAGCCCUGGACUUCUCUCCUCCUCCCGUCCCCGUAUGCCUGGCCCACCACCAGGCACUGUAUUCUUCGUCAAAGGUUUUCUGAAACUUUAUGGGGGCAGGAGGGCUAUUUGAGCAGACUACACAUUCUUCAACAGUCUCAAAUUUACAAGCUUGACCUUUUCUGAAAAUGAAGUAAUAAAUACAGUCACUGACAUAUGCUGACAGGAGUGAAAUAAGAAUUCUUUGUUUACCAGACAACUUUAAACUUGCAGCCUAUUAUUGGACCAUACUGCGGUUUGAAUAAACCAGUUGGCUUUUUAACAAUCA